UACGUAGGGUGCGAGCGUUGUCCGGAAUUAUUGGGCGUAAAGGGCUCGUAGGCGGUUUGUCGCGUCGGGAGUGAAAUCCACUGGCUUAACUGGUGGCUUGCUUUCGAUACGGGCAGACUGGAGGUAUGCAGGGGAGAACGGAAUUCCUGGUGUAGCGGUGAAAUGCGCAGAUAUCAGGAGGAACACCGGUGGUGAAGGCGGGAUCUCUGGGCCAUGACUGACGCUGAGGAGCGAAAGUGCGGGUAGGGCGAACAGG
rnacentral:rRNA from 1 species